rnacentral:rRNA from 1 species
CUUGAACUAGAUAAGAGGUCCAGCCUGCCCAGUGWAAAUAUUCAACGGCCGCGGUAUCCUAACCGUGCGAAGGUAGCGUAAUCACUUGUUCUUUAAAUGAGGACUAGUAUGAAUGGCACCACGAGGGUUUUACUGUCUUCUUUUUUUAAUCAGUGAAACUAAUCUCCCCGUGAAGAAGCGGGAAUUUAAUUAUAAGACGAGAAGACCCUAUGGAGCUUUAAACAAACAACAUUUGCUGCACAUAACACUUUUACUUUUAAAAAGUAUAGCAUUAUGAUUUUUAGUUUUUGAUUGGGGUGAUCACGGAGCAAAAUGAAACCUCCACGCCGAAAGGGUUGUACCCUGAGCAAAAAGCUACAGCUUUAAGCACUAAGAAAUUAACGCAAUUUGACCCAAUAUUUUGAUCAACGAAC